CAGCAGCCGCGGGAAUACGAAGGGUGUAAGCGUUAAUCGGAAUUACUGGGCGUAAAGCGUGCGUAGGUGGUGGUUUAAGUCCGUUGUGAAAGCCCUGGGCUCAACCUGGGAAUUGCAGUGGAUACUGGGUCACUAGAGUGUGGUAGAGGAUAGUGGAAUUUCCGGUGUAGCAGUGAAAUGCGUAGAGAUCGGAAGGAACAUCUGUGGCGAAGGCGACUAUCUGGGCCAACACUGACACUGAGGCACGAAAGCGUGGGGAGCAAACAGGAUUAGAUACCCCAGUAGUCCCUGUCUCUUAUAC
rnacentral:rRNA from 1 species